rnacentral:rRNA from 1 species
UGAGUAACACGUAAGCAACCUGCCUAUUAGAGGGGAAUAACAGUGAGAAAUCAUUGCUAAUACCGCAUAUGCCAUAAAGACCACAUGGUCUUAGUGGGAAAGGAGAAAUCCGCUAAUAGAUGGGCUUGCGUCUGAUUAGCUAGUUGGUGGGGUAAAGGCCUACCAAGGCGACGAUCAGUAGCCGAACUGAGAGGUUGAACGGCCACAUUGGGACUGAGAUACGGCCCAGACUCCUACGGGAGGCAGCAG